rnacentral:rRNA from 1 species
CUACGUGCCAGCAGCCGCGGUAAUACGUAUGUCACGAGCGUUAUCCGGAUUUAUUGGGCGUAAAGCGCGUCUAGGUGGUUAUGUAAGUCUGAUGUGAAAAUGCAGGGCUCAACUCUGUAUUGCGUUGGAAACUGUAUAACUAGAGUACUGGAGAGGUAAGCGGAACUACAAGUGUAGAGGUGAAAUUCGUAGAUAUUUGUAGGAAUGCCGAUGGGGAAGCCGGCUUACUGGACAGAUACUGACGCUGAAGCGCGAAAGCGUGGGUAGCAAACAGGAUUAGAUACCCUGGUAGUCCACGCCGUAAACGAUGAUUACUAGGUGUUGGGGGUCGAACCUCAGCGCCCAAGCAAACGCGAUAAGUAAUCCGCCUGGGGAGUACGUACGCAAGUAUGAAACUCAAAGGAAUUGACGGGGACCCGCACAAGCGGUGGAGCAUGUGGUUUAAUUCGACGCAACGCGAGGAACCUUACCAGCGUUUGACAUC